UCAAGGCUGCGUUGUACGUAGAAUAUUAAGUUUUAACCUUUAAGCUGUAAUAGGGAGUUUUAGAUCGAGGAUGAAAUGGCGAGCAUCAUACCAAGGUGAAUGAUGAUACACAGGAAAUCUUUUGCGAACACCCACUUUGAGGAGUGGUGGUUAAAAACUUUCUAAUAAUUACGGCAAGGCGGCUUCACU
rnacentral:other from 1 species